rnacentral:piRNA from 1 species
UCUUUUCAAAUUACAUAAAAA